AACACUGGAGUUUCUCCAACGGUAACAUUUCUGUUUUUAUGGACACCUUUUGUGGAUUUAUGAAACGUAUCAAUUUGAUAUCCCAUCUCAGGUUGUUAAUUUUCUCAAUCUUUCUCUCACUCUUUUUUUUUCCAUAAAGGUGUUUCUUUUCCAUAAAUCCUGAGAGAGGCACCAAGGUUGAAACCAAGAGGAAAAAAGUGUUGUCAGUCAAUGCCAGAGUCCUCACUCUCAUCUCAGACAUUGCUGACCAUGAGUGGAUCUAGUACUAAAUAGUGAAAAAUUUGUAAUGUCCACAACACUUUUUAAACUCCCAUCUUUAUUAAUUAAUUAAAAAGCAACGUUUCGACCCUGUUGGGUCUUCUUCAGGUGAAUCAUUUAAACAAAUUUUUUACUUUAACAGUUUCUUUUGUCCUGCACCUGCCAGAAGGUGGGAUGUGCACACAAUUACUGAUUUAACAGGUUUUGGAUCUAGUACUACCCCUCUUGUUGUGGACAGUGUGAUAAAGCGCUUCAAACCAUCCGCAGCUGAUAGCAAUUAGCGGCAGCGGCUGACCUGCUAUACGGCGUGUCGCAGAUAUAAAACAGCAGAGACACAGCUCACAGAAACCUCCGUGAAGUUCGCACCCCAUAAAAAGAAAUAAUCACCAAAACUGUGCCAUUCGUUUGUGCUGAUUUGUGCCGCAAAAACGAACGUUUGUGCUGAUUUGUGCCGCAAAAACGAACGUUUGUGUUGAUUUGGUGUUUGAGACAUUAAACAUUAUUUUUUGACUGUGUGUCGUGACACGGUCACGCUUGUGCUUGUGUGGUGCUGCUUUUACUGUUUGCGUGUUUUUCCCCACUUUAACUGUGGAGUUUAGCAUUUUAGAUCUGUGCUUGAAAUUGUCAGGUAAUUUAUUUCGUAAUGUUUUCUUUCUUAGAUAAUCUCCAAUGCACUGUGAUCUUACAUCUUACCUGCAAUAUACUGUAACUUCUCUGUACUAAUAUUGUAAGAGGACUGAUGGAUUUUGUCCAAUAAAAAUGCGGAAAAAUA